GGUACCAACAGUUAAGGAAUUAGGGGCCAAAAAGGGGCCAAAAAUGAGCAUUUUCUAGUUUCCAGACAAUAACUGUGGAACGGUGUAUGGAUCUCUCUGAAAUUAUACUACAAGUUUCCAUACCACAAAGGGAUGGUUAGGAUUUGCUUUGGGGGGUUAUGGCUCAAACCGUUUAGGAAUUAGGGGCAAAAAAGGGGGAAAAACAAGGUUGUCCUGGUUAAUGGACAAAUACUUUAGUACAAAACAUAGUUUAAAGCAGUGUAAGGGAGAUAAAUCAAAUACAUCAUUGAAAUUAUCUCCCUUACACUGCUUUUAAAUUAUGUAUAAAGUAAUGGUUAAUGAACAAUAAAGAUAAUCUAAAACAGUGUAAGGGAGGUAAUCCAAAUACAACGUUUUGGUUACUUCCCUUACACUGCUUUUAAAUUAUGUUUAAAGAAAUGCAUAUUUAUAAAGGAAGACCAGUAAAAAUAUCUGCAAAUGUUUUCAUCUUUUUUUUUUACAAAAAAAUCCAUAUGAAAGAUUUGACACUAUAUUUUUAUUAAUUCUAUUAUAAAAUAGAUUAAGUUAGCACUAUGGUAAAUUUAAAUGGGUAAUUAUGGUUGCCAACUCCAUUGGAAAUUUGAAUUGAGAUUAUGACCAUAUCUUGAGGGAAAGAAUUUUUUGGGGGGAAAAAGGGGGGGGGGGGGUAAAAAGAAAUUGUGGGGGGGCAAUUUUUUCUCAUUUCAGAUUUCAGAAAUUAAAAGAAUUAUUCUUCAAAUAUUAUUUUUUUUUCAAAUUUCAAAUAUUGAAAAAUUUCAAGAAGUAAUCUUUAAUUGCACAGUAUGGCGCAUUAGAUUUGUAAAAUCUUUGAUCAUAUUUAUUUAUUUGUUAUGCCGAAUCUAACAGUGUAUUUAGAUUUUUAAUUUUGGGUCCAGUUUUCAAAUUGGUCUACAUUAAGGUCCAAAGGGUCCAAAAUUAAACUUUGUUUGAUUUUAGCAAAAAUUGAAUAUAUGAGGUUCUUUGAUAUGCUGAAUCUAAACAUGUAUUUAGAUUUUUGAUUUUUGGCCCAGUUUUCAAGUUGGUCCAAAUUGGGUUCAAAAUUAAACUUUGUUUGAUUUCAACAAAAAUUGAAUAUAUGGGGUUCUUUGAUAUGCUGAAUCUAACCAUGUAUUUAGAUUUUUUAUUUGUGGACCCCGUUAUCUAAUUGGUUCAUAUUGAGGUCAAAAGGGUCCAAAAUUAAACUUUGUUUGAUUUCAUCUAAAAUUGAAUUAUUGGGGUUCUUUGAUAUUCCAAAUCUAACCGUGUAUUUAGGUUUUUAAUUUUGGGUCCUGUUUUUUAAAUUGGUCUACAUUGAGGUCCAAAGGGUCCAAAUUAAACUUAGUUUGAUUUUAACAAAAAUUGAAUUCUUGGGGUUCUUUGAUUUGCUGAAUCUAAACAUGUGUUUAGAUUUUUGAUUAUGGGCCCAGUUUUCAAGUUGGUCCAAGAUAGGGUCCAGUAUUUAAACUUUGUUUGAUUUCAACAAAAAUUGAAUAUAUGGGGUUCUUUGAUAUGCUGAAUCUAAACAUGUAUUUAGAUUUUUGAUUAUGGGCCCAGUUUUCAAGUUGGUCCAAAUUGGGGUCCAAAAUUAAACUUUGUUUGAUUUCAACAAAAAUUGAAUAUAUGAGGUUCUUUGAUAUGCUGAAUCUAACCAUGUAUUUAGAUUUUUUAUUUGUAGGCCCCGCUAUCAAAUUGGUUCAUAUUGAGGUCAAAAGGGUCCAAAAUUAAACUUUGUUUGAUUUCAUCAAAAAUUGAAUUAUUGGGGUUCUUUGAUAUUCCAAAUCUAACCGUGUAUUUAGAUUUUUAAUUUUAAGUCCCGUUUUUUAAAUUGGUCUACAUUAAGGUUCAAAGGGUCCAAAAUUAAACUUAGUUUGAUUUUAGCAAAAAUUGAAUUCUUGGGGUUCUUUGAUAUGCUGAAUCUAAACAUGUGUUUAGAUUUUUGAUUAUGGGCCCAGUUUUCAAGUUUGUCCAAGUUGGGGUCCAAAAUUAAACUUUGUUUGAUUUUAACAAAAAUUGAAUAUAUGGGGUUCUUUGAUAUGCUGAAUCUAACCAUGUAUUUUGAUUUUGGACAUUGGACCAUAAUAGGUAAAUUAAAAAAAUUCAAGUUCUUAGACCACAUUCUUUCUGUGUCAGAAACCUAUGCUGUGUCAAAUAUUUAAUAACAAUCCAAAUUCAGAGCUGUAUCAAGCUUGAAUGUUGUGUCCAUACUUGCCCCAACUGUUCAGGGUUCGACCUCUGCGGUCGUAUCAAGCUGCGCCCCAGCGAAGCAUUUUAUUUUUAUUUUUUGAAUUUUGUUAAACCCUGUGACAUGUAUUGAGAGGUGUUCAUAGACCAAGGGUCUGUGAAGGGUAAUUUUUUCUGGUUUUGGCCAUUCAUUAGUGAGAUAAACAUUCAUAAUCUUGGUGCUUUCAGAAUUAAGAAGAUUGGUCAUUUGGUUAUUUACUCACAUGAAUGCCAUGCAUAGAAUCAGUCCAACAUUAAAAUACUUGUCAGGUAAUAAAACUGACAUUUUGUGUGUAUCUUGCAAUAUAAUUGUGACUCUUACUCAUCUGUAUUUUGAUUGUUUUACUUUCCACAGGCUGUUUAUUCACCUGGUAAGUGGCCAGGAACAUAAAGAAAAUUUAACUUCCCGUUUUCCAAAUUACAAGCAAAUUAUGUGAACCAUCAAUACCCUGGUAAUAUUUUAAUAGUUUAUUUAAUUAUGUAUUUAUGUAACUGCAUCUUUGCUUCACCCCUAGCCUCUAGUAAACAAGAAAUUUGAAACUGCAUACAAUAUCACACUUUGCUAGAUAACUGAAAUCAUGUUGAAAAAAUUUCCAGACCCUUGCUUUAGACUUAUAAAUAAAUAUUAUGGGAGUAAAAAGAAGUAUAUUAAUUUUAAAGAUGAUUUAGCAGACUUAGAAAACUAGAUGUAUAUUAUUUUUUUAUUUUAUUUAAAUUUUAUUGGUGCUUAUGACAGAGUUAUAUAUUAUGUUGUUAUAUGUUUUUUGUUUAUUAAGUGCAUGUAUUUGUUUGAAAUGAUGAGAGUGUAUGAAUGUGUUAUAGUUCACAUUUCUGUAAAUAAAAAACAGACAUGAAAAAAGAUGUCAAUGAAAGCACUAAAACAUAAGUCUUCCAAAAUAGACAACAAGAGGUCACCAUACAGUCACCACUGACUGACACAAAAGGAGAUAAGUUAAAAAAAAUGGUGCUUGAUUACUUCUUUAUGUCUAUUUUUACAAUGUUGACUUUGUGUUGGUGAGCUGCUGUCUCAUUGUUAUUUACUGUAAAUUCAGAAAUUAUUGCAUGUAUUAGUUAUUGUGAUUAUUGAAGAAUGGACAAAAAUGUGAGAUUAAUUAUUGCCAAUCCGUAAAAAGCUGCACACAGAUACUUGUUUGAAUUAGAGUGGCUUCACUUCCACUGUUCUCGAGUUACCCCAUUACUGUUUGUUAUUGAACAAUGAGAGAACUCAAACCCCCAUCCAAUCUCUAAGACAACAUACAGGAACAAAUGUCAAUAGACAUGAUAGGUUUGAAUUAGUACAUUAACUUGCAUAUUUACAAACGGGAGCAUAUGUGUCUCGUGGACACAUAAUUCUUUUAUUUUCAUUUUUGUUAAAGGUACAUGUAGUACAAUGUGUCCUUAGCAUUCUGACUGAAUAUCUAUGGUAUAAUCUUUCAUGUUUUUUUUUCUUUUAAGUUUAUGCUAACGUGAUUGUUGUGGAAAGAUUUUUAUGUUUAUAAGAGUGAACAACAAUUUAUAAUAUGACAAUGUGAAUGAUUGUAAUAAUUUGUGAAGUUGUCAUGUCCUGUUUGUUAAAUAAGAAAAUUAAUAUUUGUUAUAGAUGUGCAUAUUUUACCUGUAUAAUUAUGAUAGUUGUUAUUUAUGUGUAUUAUAUUGAAAGGUUAAAUAAAGUGAGAUUGCUGAUUUAUUGAA